ACAGGCAGGUUGAUCUCAGCAUGCAACUCGGAUAUCUCAUCCUCACUGUUUUCUUGGGGCAACUGCAAGGCACCAUGGGGCAGAUCACACUCACCCAGCAAGAAGGACAAGUCACAGUAAAGGAGAGAGAGACCUUUCAAACAACUUGCACAUACCAGACAUCCUACUUUCAAGGUCUGGCUUGGUACCAGCAAAAGAAAGACCAAGCCCCAGAGCUCAUCUUGUAUCAGGCAGUUGCUGGACCCAGGCAGAGCGGCCGUUUCAGCACGCUGCUGAACACCACAUGGAAAUACAGCCUCCUGAAGCUGCAGGAGGUCGAGCUCUCUGACAGUGCCUUGUACCUCUGUGCUGGGCAAGACACCGUGGUGCAGGCAGCUGCCCCAGCUGUGCAAUAACGCAGGGAGGCAGGGUUUGACUUGGGGGGAUCUUUGAUUAUCCCCAGGUCCUAAACAGGGGGUGGUGGCACAGAGAUGAGCUCCUAUGGCAGCAAGGGACUCUGUGUCCUGGACAUGCCAGAUUUGCAGCAGCGUACAGUAGGGAAUUUUUAUUUUACAAU